UACGGGGGGGCAAGCGUUGUUCGGAAUUACUGGGCGUAAAGGCGCGUAGGCGGCCUGCUAAGUCGGAUGUGAAAUCCCUCGGCUCAACCGAGGAACUGCAUCCGAUACUGGCGGGCUUGAAUCCGGGAGAGGAUGUGGAAUUCCAGGUGUAGCGGUGAAAUGCGUAGAUAUCUGGAGGAACACCGGUGGCGAAGGCGGCAUCCUGGACCGGUAUUGACGCUGAGGCGCGAAAGCUAGGGGAGCAACGGG
rnacentral:rRNA from 1 species